rnacentral:rRNA from 1 species
AGCAGCCGCCGCGGUAAAACAGAGGGUGCGAGCGUUAAUCGGAUUUACUGGGCGUAAAGCGUGCGUAGGCGGCUAAUUGAGUCGGAUGUGAAAUCCCCGAGCUUAACUUGGGAAUUGCAUUCGAUACUGGUUAGCUAGAGUGUGGGAGAGGAUGGUAGAAUUCCAGGUGUAGCGGUGAAAUGCGUAGAGAUCUGGAGGAAUACCGAUGGCGAAGGCAGCAAUCUGGCCUAACACUGACGCUGAGGUACGAAAGCAUGGGGAGCAAACAGGAUUAGAUACCCCGGUAGUCCCUGUCUCUUAUAC